UACGGAGGGGGCAAGCGUUGUUCGGAAUCAUUGGGCGUAAAGAGUAUGUAGGCGGCUAUUUAAGUCAGGCGUGCAAGCCCACGGCUCAACCGUGGAAUUGCGUUUGAAACUAUUUAGCUUGAGUUCAGGAGAGGAAGGCGGAAUUCCCAGUGUAGCGGUGAAAUGCAUUGAUAUUGGGAAGAACACCGGUGGCGAAGGCGGCCUUCUGGUCUGAUACUGACGCUGAGAUACGAAAGCCAGGGGAGCGAACGGG
rnacentral:rRNA from 1 species